rnacentral:lncRNA from 1 species
GAUAAUACUUUACAAGGUUGUUGUGAGGCUUAGAUGAGAUAGAGAAUUAUUCCAUAAGAUAAUCAAGUGCUACAUUAAUGUUAUAGUUAGAUUAAUCCAAGAACUAGUCACCCUACUUUAUUAGAGAAGAGAAAAGCUAAUGAUUUGAUUUGCAGAAUAUUUAAGGUUUGGAUUUCUAUGCAGUUUUUCUAAAUAACCAUCACUUACAAAUAUGUAACCAAACGUAAUUGUUAGUAUAUUUAAUGUAAACUUGUUUUAACAACUCUUCUCAACAUUUUGUCCAGGUUAUUCACUGUAACCAAAUAAAUCUCAUGAGUCUUUAGUUGAUUUAAAA